GUAGGUGGCAAGCGUUGUCCGGAAUUAUUGGGCGUAAAGCGCGCGCAGGCGGUUCUUUAAGUCUGAUGUGAAAGCCCACGGGCUCAACCGUGGAGGGUCAUUGGAAACUGGAGAACUUGAGUACAGAAGAGGAAAGCGGAAUUCCACGUGUAGCGGUGAAAUGCGUAGAGAUGUGGAGGAACACCAGUGGCGAAGGCGGCUUUCUGGUCUGUAACUGACGCUGAGGCGCGAAAGCGUGGGGAGCAAACAGGAUUAGAUACCUCGGUAGUCCACGCCGUAAACGAUGAGUGCUAAGUGUUAGGGGGUUUCCGGUCCCCUUACGUUGCUGCAGCUAACGCAUUAAGCACUCCGCCUCGGGGAGGUACGGCCGCAAGGCUG
rnacentral:rRNA from 1 species